CCGUUUUGACCCUCAAACGGGCUGCGGAAAGUUAUGGCACGUAAAAAAGAUCGAAAGCGGAUUCUCAAGGUGUUUUUGAUGCUUUCUUAACGCCGUUAACCUCGAUGCACUUUUUCGCUCGAAACAAAACGGCAAGAAAAUCAUGUGGGCCCCACGGCCUUACACUUGGAUUGGCCGGGGAAAGGAUAUAUAGAAACGAGAGUGAUGUACUGACGGGUGCGAUCAUACCAGCACUAAUGCACCGGAUCCCAUCAGAACUCCGCAGUGAAGCGUGCUUGGGCGAGAGUAGUACUAGGAUGGGUGACCUCCCGGGAAGUCCUCGUGUUGCACCCCUUUUUAUUUUAUAAUUUUUUUUUAGCCUAAAACGAGUCUAAACUUGAAAACCUCAUAACUUUUGAACCGUGAGGAACUACGUCGCCCAUAGCACCAUUGAGAAAGCCCCAGAAACCAUAAUGGGCGGUGAAUAGGGGGCGCAAUUUUUCGGGCUCAAAUUCAGCCGUUUUGACCCUCAAACGGGCUGCGGAAAGUUAUGGCACGUAAAAAAGAUCGAAAGCGGAUUCUCAAGGUGUUUUUGAUGCUUUCUUAACGCCGUUAACCUCGAUGCACUUUUUCGCUCGAAACAAAACGGCAAGAAAAUCAUGCGCGCCCCACGGCCUUACACUUGGAUUGGCCGCGAAAAGGAUAUAUAGAAACGAGAGUGAUGUACUGACGGGUGCGAUCAUACCAGCACUAAUGCACCGGAUCCCAUCAGAACUCCGCAGUUAAGCGUGCUUGGGCGAGAGUAGUAGUACUAGGAUGGGUGACCUCCCGGGAAGUCCUCGUGUUGCACCCCUUUUUAUUUUUUAAUUUUUUUUUAGCCUAAAACGAGUCUAAACUUGAAAACCUCAUAACUUUUGAACCGUGAGGAACUACGUCGCCCAUAGCACCAUUUCGGAAAGCCCCAGAAACCAUAAUGGGCGGUGAAUAGGGGGCGCAAUUUUUCGGGCUCAAAUUCAGCCGUUUUGACCCUCAAACGGGCUGCGGAAAGUUAUGGCACGUAAAAAAGAUCGAAAGCGGAUUCUCAAGGUGUUUUUGAUGCUUUCUUAACGCCGUUAACCUCGAUGCACUUUUUCGCUCGAAACAAAACGGCAAGAAAAUCAUGCGCGCCCACGGCCUUACACUUGGAUUGGCCGCGAAAAGGAUAUAUAGAAACGAGAGUGAUGUACUGACGGGUGCGAUCAUACCAGCACUAAUGCACCGGAUCCCAUCAGAACUCCGCAGCUAAGCGUGCUUGGGCGAGAGUAGUACUAGGAUGGGUGACCUCCCGGGAAGUCCUCGUGUUGCACCCCUUUUAUUUUUUAAUUUUUUUUUAGCCUAAAACGAGUCUAAACUUGAAAACCCCAUAACUUUUGAACCGUGAGGAACUACGUCGCCCAUAGCACCAUUUCGGAAAGCCCCAGAAACCAUAAUGGGCGGUGAAUAGGGGGCGCAAUUUUUCGGGCUCAAAUUCAGCCGUUUUGACCCUCAAACGGGCUGCGGAAAGUUAUGGCACGUAAAAAAGAUCGAAAGCGGAUUCUCAAGGUGUUUUUGAUGCUUUCUUAACGCCGUUAACCUCGAUGCACUUUUUCGCUCGAAACAAAACGGCAAGAAAAUCAUGCGCGCCCCACGGCCUUACACUUGGAUUGGCCGCGAAAAGGAUAUAUAGAAACGAGAGUGAUGUACUGACGGGUGCGAUCAUACCAGCACUAAUGCACCGGAUCCCAUCAGAACUCCGCAGUUAAGCGUGCUUGGGCGAGAGUAGUACUAGGAUGGGUGACCUCCCGGGAAGUCCUCGUGUUGCACCCCUUUUUAUUUUUUAAUUUUUUUUUAGCCUAAAACGAGUCUAAACUUGAAAACCUCAUAACUUUUGAACCGUGAGGAACUACGUCGCCCAUAGCACCAUUUCGGAGAGCCCCAGAAACCAUAAUGGGCGGUGAAUAGGGGGGGCGCAAUUUUUCGGGCUCAAAUUCAGCCGUUUUGACCCUCAAACGGGCUGCGGAAAGUUAUGGCACGUAAAAAAGAUCGAAAGCGGAUUCUCAAGGUGUUUUUGAUGCUUUCUUAACGCCGUUAACCUCGAUGCACUUUUUCGCUCGAAACAAAACGGCAAGAAAAUCAUGCGCGCCCCACGGCCUUACACUUGGAUUGGCCGCGAAAAGGAUAUAUAGAAACGAGAGUGAUGUACUGACGGGUGCGAUCAUACCAGCACUAAUGCACCGGAUCCCAUCAGAACUCCGCAGUUAAGCGUGCUUGGGCGAGAGUAGUACUAGGAUGGGUGACCUCCCGGGAAGUCCUCGUGUUGCACCCCUUUUUAUUUUUAAUUUUUUUUUAGCCUAAAACGAGUCUAAACUUGAAAACCUCAUAACUUUUGAACCGUGAGGAACUACGUCGCCCAUAGCACCAUUUCGGAGAGCCCCAGAAACCAUAAUGGGCGGUGAAUAGGGGGCGCAAUUUUUCGGGCUCAAAUUCAGCCGUUUUGACCCUCAAACGGGCUGCGGAAAGUUAUGGCACGUAAAAAAGAUCGAAAGCGGAUUCUCAAGGUGUUUUUGAUGCUUUCUUAACGCCGUUAACCUCGAUGCACUUUUUCGCUCGAAACAAAACGGCAAGAAAAUCAUGCGCGCCCCACGGCCUUACACUUGGAUUGGCCGCGAAAAGGAUAUAUAGAAACGAGAGUGAUGUACUGACGGGUGCGAUCAUACCAGCACUAAUGCACCGGAUCCCAUCAGAACUCCGCAGUUAAGCGUGCUUGGGCGAGAGUAGUACUAGGAUGGGUGACCUCCCGGGAAGUCCUCGUGUUGCACCCCUUUUUAUUUUUUAAUUUUUUUUAGCCUAAAACGAGUCUAAACUUGAAAACCUCAUAACUUUUGAACCGUGAGGAACUACGUCGCCCAUAGCACCAUUUCGGAGAGCCCCAGAAACCAUAAUGGGCGGUGAAUAGGGGGCGCAAUUUUUCGGGCUCAAAUUCAGCCGUUUUGACCCUCAAACGGGCUGCGGAAAGUUAUGGCACGUAAAAAAGAUCGAAAGCGGAUUCUCAAGGUGUUUUUGAUGCUUUCUUAACGCCGUUAACCUCGAUGCACUUUUUCGCUCGAAACAAAACGGCAAGAAAAUCAUGCGCGCCCCACGGCCUUACACUUGGAUUGGCCGCGAAAAGGAUAUAUAGAAACGAGAGUGAUGUACUGACGGGUGCGAUCAUACCAGCACUAAUGCACCGGAUCCCAUCAGAACUCCGCAGUUAAGCGUGCUUGGGCGAGAGUAGUACUAGGAUGGGUGACCUCCGGGAAGUCCUCGUGUUGCACCCCUUUUUAUUUUUUAAUUUUUUUUAGCCUAAAACGAGUCUAAACUUGAAAACCUCAUAACUUUUGAACCGUGAGGAACUACGUCGCCCAUAGCACCAUUUCGGAGAGCCCCAGAAACCAUAAUGGGCGGUGAAUAGGGGGCGCAAUUUUUCGGGCUCAAAUUCAGCCGUUUUGACCCUCAAACGGGCUGCGGAAAGUUAUGGCACGUAAAAAAGAUCGAAAGCGGAUUCUCAAGGUGUUUUUGAUGCUUUCUUAACGCCGUUAACCUCGAUGCACUUUUUCGCUCGAAACAAAACGGCAAGAAAAUCAUGCGCGCCCCACGGCCUUACACUUGGAUUGGCCGCGAAAAGGAUAUAUAGAAACGAGAGUGAUGUACUGACGGGUGCGAUCAUACCAGCACUAAUGCACCGGAUCCCAUCAGAACUCCGCAGUUAAGCGUGCUUGGGCGAGAGUAGUACUAGGAUGGGUGACCUCCCGGGAAGUCCUCGUGUUGCACCCCUUUUUAUUUUUUAAUUUUUUUUUGCCUAAAACGAGUCUAAACUUGAAAACCUCAUAACUUUUGAACCGUGAGGAACUACGUCGCCCAUAGCACCAUUUCGGAGAGCCCCAGAAACCAUAAUGGGCGGUGAAUAGGGGGCGCAAUUUUUCGGGCUCAAAUUCAGCCGUUUUGACCCUCAAACGGGCUGCGGAAAGUUAUGGCACGUAAAAAAGAUCGAAAGCGGAUUCUCAAGGUGUUUUUGAUGCUUUCUUAACGCCGUUAACCUCGAUGCACUUUUUCGCUCGAAACAAAACGGCAAGAAAAUCAUGCGCGCCCCACGGCCUUACACUUGGAUUGGCCGCGAAAAGGAUAUAUAGAAACGAGAGUGAUGUACUGACGGGUGCGAUCAUACCAGCACUAAUGCACCGGAUCCCAUCAGAACUCCGCAGUUAAGCGUGCUUGGGCGAGAGUAGUACUAGGAUGGGUGACCUCCCGGGAAGUCCUCGUGUUGCACCCCUUUUUAUUUUUUAAUUUUUUUUUAGCCUAAAACGAGUCUAAACUUGAAAACCUCAUAACUUUUGAACCGUGAGGAACUACGUCGCCCAUAGCACCAUUUCGGAAAGCCCCAGAAACCAUAAUGGGCGGUGAAUAGGGGGCGCAAUUUUUCGGGCUCAAAUUCAGCCCGUUUUGACCCUCAAACGGGCUGCGGAAAGUUAUGGCACGUAAAAAAGAUCGAAAGCGGAUUCUCAAGGUGUUUUUGAUGCUUUCUUAACGCCGUUAACCUCGAUGCACUUUUUCGCUCGAAACAAAACGGCAAGAAAAUCAUGCGCGCCCCACGGCCUUACACUUGGAUUGGCCGCGAAAAGGAUAUAUAGAAACGAGAGUGAUGUACUGACGGGUGCGAUCAUACCAGCACUAAUGCACCGGAUCCCAUCAGAACUCCGCAGUUAAGCGUGCUUGGGCGAGAGUAGUACUAGGAUGGGUGACCUCCCGGGAAGUCCUCGUGUUGCACCCCUUUUUAUUUUUUAAUUUUUUUUAGCCUAAAACGAGUCUAAACUUGAAAACCUCAUAACUUUUGAACCGUGAGGAACUACGUCGCCCAUAGCACCAUUUCGGAGCCCCAGAAACCAUAAUGGGCGGGUGAAUAGGGGGCGCAAUUUUUCGGGCUCAAAUUCAGCCGUUUUGACCCUCAAACGGGCUGCGGAAAGUUAUGGCACGUAAAAAAGAUCGAAAGCGGAUUCUCAAGGUGUUUUUGAUGCUUUCUUAACGCCGUUAACCUCGAUGCACUUUUUCGCUCGAAACAAAACGGCAAGAAAAUCAUGCGCGCCCCACGGCCUUACACUUGGAUUGGCCGCGAAAAGGAUAUAUAGAAACGAGAGUGAUGUACUGACGGGUGCGAUCAUACCAGCACUAAUGCACCGGAUCCCAUCAGAACUCCGCAGUUAAGCGUGCUUGGGCGAGAGUAGUACUAGGAUGGGUGACCUCCCGGGAAGUCCUCGUGUUGCACCCCUUUUUAUUUUUUAAUUUUUUUUUAGCCUAAAACGAGUCUAAACUUGAAAACCUCAUAACUUUUGAACCGUGAGGAACUACGUCGCCCAUAGCACCAUUUCGGAGAGCCCCAGAAACCAUAAUGGGCGGUGAAUAGGGGGCGCAAUUUUUCGGGCUCAAAUUCAGCCGUUUUGACCCUCAAACGGGCUGCGGAAAGUUAUGGCACGUAAAAAAGAUCGAAAGCGGAUUCUCAAGGUGUUUUUGAUGCUUUCUUAACGCCGUUAACCUCGAUGCACUUUUUCGCUCGAAACAAAACGGCAAGAAAAUCAUGCGCGCCCCACGGCCUUACACUUGGAUUGGCCGCGAAAAGGAUAUAUAGAAACGAGAGUGAUGUACUGACGGGUGCGAUCAUACCAGCACUAAUGCACCGGAUCCCAUCAGAACUCCGCAGUUAAGCGUGCUUGGGCGAGAGUAGUACUAGGAUGGGUGACCUCCCGGGAAGUCCUCGUGUUGCACCCCUUUUUAUUUUUUAAUUUUUUUUUAGCCUAAAACGAGUCUAAACUUGAAAACCUCAUAACUUUUGAACCGUGAGGAACUACGUCGCCCAUAGCACCAUUUCGGAGAGCCCCAGAAACCAUAAUGGGCGGUGAAUAGGGGGCGCAAUUUUUCGGGCUCAAAUUCAGCCGUUUUGACCCUCAAACGGGCUGCGGAAAGUUAUGGCACGUAAAAAAGAUCGAAAGCGGAUUCUCAAGGUGUUUUUGAUGCUUUCUUAACGCCGUUAACCUCGAUGCACUUUUUCGCUCGAAACAAAACGGCAAGAAAAUCAUGCGCGCCCCACGGCCUUACACUUGGAUUGGCCGCGAAAAGGAUAUAUAGAAACGAGAGUGAUGUACUGACGGGUGCGAUCAUACCAGCACUAAUGCACCGGAUCCCAUCAGAACUCCGCAGUUAAGCGUGCUUGGGCGAGAGUAGUACUAGGAUGGGUGACCUCCCGGGAAGUCCUCGUGUUGCACCCCUUUUUUAUUUUUUAAUUUUUUUUAGCCUAAAACGAGUCUAAACUUGAAAACCUCAUAACUUUUGAACCGUGAGGAACUACGUCGCCCAUAGCACCAUUUCGGAAAGCCCCAGAAACCAUAAUGGGCGGUGAAUAGGGGGCGCAAUUUUUCGGGCUCAAAUUCAGCCGUUUUGACCCUCAAACGGGCUGCGGAAAGUUAUGGCACGUAAAAAAGAUCGAAAGCGGAUUCUCAAGGUGUUUUUGAUGCUUUCUUAACGCCGUUAACCUCGAUGCACUUUUUCGCUCGAAACAAAACGGCAAGAAAAUCAUGCGCGCCCCACGGCCUUACACUUGGAUUGGCCGCGAAAAGGAUAUAUAGAAACGAGAGUGAUGUACUGACGGGUGCGAUCAUACCAGCACUAAUGCACCGGAUCCCAUCAGAACUCCGCAGUUAAGCGUGCUUGGGCGAGAGUAGUACUAGGAUGGGUGACCUCCCGGGAAGUCCUCGUGUUGCACCCCUUUUUUUUUUUAAUUUUUUUUUAGCCUAAAACGAGUCUAAACUUGAAAACCUCAUAACUUUUGAACCGUGAGGAACUACGUCGCCCAUAGCACCAUUUCGGAGAGCCCCAGAAACCAUAAUGGGCGGUGAAUAGGGGGCGCAAUUUUUCGGGCUCAAAUUCAGCCGUUUUGACCCUCAAACGGGCUGCGGAAAGUUAUGGCACGUAAAAAAGAUCGAAAGCGGAUUCUCAAGGUGUUUUGAUGCUUUCUUAACGCCGUUAACCUCGAUGCACUUUUUCGCUCGAAACAAAACGGCAAGAAAAUCAUGUGGGCCCCACGGCCUUACACUUGGAUUGGCCGCGAAAAGGAUAUAUAGAAACGAGAGUGAUGUACUGACGGGUGCGAUCAUACCAGCACUAAUGCACCGGAUCCCAUCAGAACUCCGCAGUUAAGCGUGCUUGGGCGAGAGUAGUACUAGGAUGGGUGACCUCCCGGGAAGUCCUCGUGUUGCACCCCUUUUUAUUUUUUAAUUUUUUUUUAGCCUAAAACGAGUCUAAACUUGAAAACCUCAUAACUUUUGAACCGUGAGGAACUACGUCGCCCAUAGCACCAUUUCGGAGAGCCCCAGAAACCAUAAUGGGGCGGUGAAUAGGGGGCGCAAUUUUUCGGGCUCAAAUUCAGCCGUUUUGACCCUCAAACGGGCUGCGGAAAGUUAUGGCACGUAAAAAAGAUCGAAAGCGGAUUCUCAAGGUGUUUUUGAUGCUUUCUUAACGCCGUUAACCUCGAUGCACUUUUUCGCUCGAAACAAAACGGCAAGAAAAUCAUGCGCGCCCCACGGCCUUACACUUGGAUUGGCCGCGAAAAGGAUAUAUAGAAACGAGAGUGAUGUACUGACGGGUGCGAUCAUACCAGCACUAAUGCACCGGAUCCCAUCAGAACUCCGCAGUUAAGCGUGCUUGGGCGAGAGUAGUACUAGGAUGGGUGACCUCCCGGGAAGUCCUCGUGUUGCACCCCUUUUUAUUUUUUAUUUUUUUUUUAGCCUAAAACGAGUCUAAACUUGAAAACCUCAUAACUUUUGAACCGUGAGGAACUACGUCGCCCAUAGCACCAUUUCGGAAG
rnacentral:lncRNA from 1 species